rnacentral:rRNA from 1 species
GAAUAUUGGACAAUGGGGGCAACCCUGAUCCAGCCAUGCCGCGUGUGUGAAGAAGGCUUUCGGGUUGUAAAGCACUUUCAGUGAGGAGGAAAACUCUGCGACUAAUACUCGUAGGGCUUGACGUUACUCACAGAAGAAGCACCGGCUAACUCCGUGCCAGCAGCCGCGGUAAUACGGAGGGUGCAAGCGUUAAUCGGAAUUACUGGGCGUAAAGCGCACGUAGGUGGUUUGGUAAGUCGGAUGUGAAAGCCCUGGGCUUAACCUGGGAAUUGCAUUCGAUACUGCUUGACUAGAGUAUGGUAGAGGGAAGUGGAAUUUCCGGUGUAGCGGUGAAAUGCGUAGAUAUCGGAAGGAACACCAGUGGCGAAGGCGACUUCCUGGGCCAAUACUGACACUGAGGUGCGAAAGCGUGGGGAGCAAACAGG